rnacentral:rRNA from 1 species
AGCUCGAACGCUGGCGGCAGGCCUAACACAUGCAAGUCGAACGAACUCUUCGGAGUUAGUGGCGGGCACGGGUGAGUAACACGUGGGAACGUGCCUUUAGGUUCGGAAUAACUCAGGGAAACUUGAGUUCUAAUACCGAAUGUGCCCUUCGGGGGAAAGAUUUAUCGCCUUUAGAGCGGCCCGCGUCUGGAAUUAGCUUGUUGGUGAGGUAAUGGCUCACCAAGGCGACGAUCAGUAGCUGGUCUGAGAGGACAUGACCAGCCACAUUGGGACUGAGACACGGCCCAAACUCCUACGGGAGGCAGCAGUGGGGCAAAUCUUGCGCAAUGGGCGAAAGCCUGACGCAGCCAUGCCGCGUGGAUGAUGAAGGUCUUAUGGGAUUGUAAAAUCCUUUCACCGGUGAAGAUAAUGACUGUAGCCGGAGAAGAAGCCCCGGCAGUAACUUCGUGCCAGCAGCCGCGGUAAUACGAAGGGGGCUAGCGUUGCUCGGAAUUACUGGGUGCGUAAAGGGAGCGUAGGCGGACAUUUAAGUCAGGGGUGAAAUCCCGAGGCUCAACCUCGCAGAACUGCCUUUGAUACUGGGUGUCUUGAGUGUGAGAGAGGUGAGUGGAACUCCGAGUGUAAGGAGGUGAAAUUCGU